UUUUCGACGACUUCCCCUCUAUAUACUCUCCAAUAAAUGAUCAAACUCAUUCACAUUGUAACAGAACUUACAACUUCCAUUGCUCACAUAAUUUUCGCGAAACAAAUUAGCAAUUGAUCAGAUUGUCAACACAAUGGCUUCUUAUAGAAAUUGCUCAAUCCUCUACGUGAUCAUAGCAUUAUUGUCCUUAUCAAGCAUAUCGACAAGUCAAGCUGCUCGCGGCUUACUACAACUUCCCAACUUGCCUAACAUCUCGUCAUUGCCUCUGCCAACACUACCACAAUUGCCUCCUAUUCCCAAUUUGCCUAAGAUCCCUCCAUUGCCAUUGUUGCCAAGUAAUGUUUCAUCUUUGCCCACAGUGACCUCUGUUCCGAAGAUGACUUUGCCGUCAAAACCAUCGGUGAAUCCUCUGCCUAACACGCCAUCAGUUCCAACCAUUCCUACACGAUCACCUCCUCCAUCCAACUAAUCUUGUGGCUUCCAACCGCGUGAUCUUUACCUGUCUUAACCGAUUGGUCUCUCUAUCGCGUGUUUCUCUUAAGAAUAAAGUUUUUAAACGUUUUAUGUGAUACUUAACGAUGUAAUGUAUCAUGUUAUAGGUUCUUGAAUCGUAUACAAUGAUUGUCAUUUAUGUUAAAUAAAUAAAGUGUACGUCUACUACUGAUUAGUGUGUAUUUGUCCAAUAUAUGUUCUUGAUAAGCGAAGAUCAACAUACAUACAUACAUACAUAUACUUUUGAAUCAUAACUAUUGUACUACAAUCAAAUGGAAUUUCACUUGGAGAAUUAAGAGUGAGUUGAAACUACUGGUAACUCAAACAUAUGUUACAUAAAAUAUGAGACAAAAGCUUAAUAAAAUAUGUGAAGAUAACUUAACACCACUUAUUUUGAAGAUUUUGCAACGUCAUUUUUUAAAAUAUUUUUUUAUUACAUCGAGGGUAGGAGAAGGGGAAAUGAGGGAGGGAAUUACAAGGCGGGAAAUCGAACCCUCACCAAUAAGGUGAAAGUUCAGGUAGCCAACCAAUUGUGUUACUAAGAUCCUCCAAGAUUUUACAACGUAAAUUGUGUAAUUAUAUAGAGCUACAUAAUUAAGUUGUUUUCUUGUUCAACAAUUUCCUGGAUAUAUGUAUGUGGACUUCCACCGGAAACUGCCUCUAAAAUAUGCAUACUAGUCAAGGAUUGAACUUAAUAAUGAUAAACAAAAGACAUAUAAAUAAUUAGUAGCAACAGAAAUAUACAUCAAACUCUCAUUUCACAAUCAAAACAUAAAACAAUGGGACAAUUCAAAAGACAGCAUACAUGCAUCACCCUGAAAAUCAACUCGAAAACAUCUUAAAAGAAACGAUACAACAACUAAGCUGAAAGAUAAUAGUAAUUAGUUGGAUGGAGGAGGUGAAAGUGGAAGAAUCAUGUUUGGAAGUGAUGGCAUGUUGGGAAGAGGAUUCAUGGAAGGCAUUGGAGGCAGUGUCAUUUUAGGGAUAGAGGGUAAUGUAGGCAAAGAUGAUACACUUGGCAAUGGUGGCAAUGUUGUAGGCAAGCUGGGAAUAUUGGGCAGUUGUGGCAUUGUUGGUUGAGGCAGUGAUGGGAUUGUUGGCAUGUUAGGAAGUUGAAGUAGGCUACGAACAGCAUGACUUGUCGAUAUGCUUGAAAAGAGCGAUAAUGCUAUGAUAGUGAAGACGACUGAGCAGUUGAUGGAAGUAGCCAUUGUGAAUUUGCUCUAAAAUUGCUUUGUUUUCACAGGGAUAUUAAGUUGUGUUUUGAUUUGAGUUGAGACUGAUCAUUUACUGAAGGUGUAUAUAUAUAUAGGUGAGAUGUUGGUGAAGAAGCAUAAGCUCUAAAUUCUAAAUACUCUAUUGUUAUGUUAGUUAAUCUUCCUGAACAAUAUUGGUUUGCGGAACAUUCACCAACUUUCGAGUCAAUAAAUUUUCUAAGACUAGUUAUGUAUAGAUGGAAUUUGGAUCACCCAAUUUGGUGGUCAAUUGAGUAGUCGGAGCAUACUAGCCAGACUAAUACUGAUUCACAUCAUGUAGGACUCACUAAGUGGGAGCGCUCCCUUCCUAGAUUUUGUUUGUUCCAUAACUCGAACCUGAAACAUUUGGUUAAAGGUGAAAGGAUCCCAAUCAACCAAUUACACCCUUGUUCGUCGAUCCUUCUUUUGUUGUUCAACUACCAACUAGGAGAUGUUUGCUUGCCUAAUAUAUAUGAUGACUAAUGAAUGUACUCAACAAUAUCCUGGAGUUUAUCAUAUUCGUUAUACAAUCAGAAGGCAACCAAGUCUAGGGAAGAGUCUUUUUUCACAUGGACCGAUCGUUAUUGUCAGUUGAACAUUCCAAAUUUACAAAAUGACAAUCUAAAUACCAUCAAAAUUUAUUUGUCAUGUUAGCUUUGGGUGUCCACGAGACACGGUGAAAAUUAAUUGAGGUAUCUAGAUGUGCAUUCUCAGAGUUAAAGAGUGUUUAGUUGUCAAAUCCUUAUUCACAUGGCAUUUAGGAAUUGAUAUUCCAGGAGAACAUAAGUAGCAAAGUCAAAUAAAAUAUAAGAUAUGACUUUAUCAAUUAGUGAUGAAAUAAUGUAAACCAAAUAUGGUUGAUCCAAACUUCAUAUAUGUAUAACUACUUCAAAAGUUGCUACAUAUUGUUCCUCAAACCAACAUUGAGGAAGGUUAACUACCAACAAAUUAGGUAAAGAGCCUAGGUGCUUCCCUCAAGAACUUUGCCUAUAUAUACACUCUUUAUCUAUAAUCAAAUCUCAUCUGAAAGUAAACUGAAAACACAACUUUCCUUGUUGAAGCAUAGCAAUCUAGAUCAAAUUGACACAAUGGUGCCUUCCAACACUUGCUCAAUCCUCUUCGUUAUCAUAGCAUUAUCGUCCUUAUCAAGCAUCACCACAAGCCAUGCUGCCCGCGGCCUACUGCAACUUCCCAGCUUGCCUAAGAUCCCGUCAUUGCCUCAGCCAACAAUGCCACAACUGCCUAAAAUUCCCAACUUGCCCACAGCAUUGCCACCAUUACCAAGUACUAUUGCAUCUUUGCCAACACUUCCAACAACUAAUACACCAUUGCCAUCUUUACCUACGCUGCCCUCUGUUCCGAAGAUGACACUGCCACCAUUGCCCGCGAAUCCUCUACCCAACAUGCCAUCACUUCCAAACAUUCCUACACUUUCACCCCCUCCAUCCAACUAAAUCACGCGGCUUCUAACAUUUUAUCUGUGCUCUUGCUCUUCCUUUUUCUUUUAUAACUUGUCUUCUUAAUGUUUUUGAUUUUGUAACGAUGACAUUUUAUCAUUUAUACUCAAUCUAUGAGUGUUGUGUGUUUGAUUAUCCAGAAAUAAACUUUACAUUCACUUCAAGUAGUAAUAUUCAUCAAAUGAUAGACAUCAUCACCAACGCAAACCAGUAACGUGCAUUACGUGUGUGCACUUUACUUGUUCCAUUCACUUUCACGUAAAAUUUGAUUUUGGCUAAGUAAUGCCUCCUCAUACUUGAGUGAGAAUAGUCUUUAUUUGUCAAAUGACAUUUGUGGGUCCCAUGUUAUUUCUUGAAAGUGAAAUUAGUGCUACUCCCUCGGUUUGUUAUACAUGUUUGAACAAAUUGGAUCACAAACAUAUAUAUUAGUUAACAACUAUUAUUUUCUUUUAAAAUCUACUUAUUGAUGGUAGAAAAGGGAGUAAAGGCAUGCAUAUUGCUUAACUAGAUUGUAUAAAAGGCUUGCCAAAUUUCUUCUUUUUGUUUUUCUGCAAUCAACUGGCAUGUCAUUUAGGUAAAUAGAAAAUCACGUCAGCUGAUUUGUUCACUGUUGGAUCGGACUGAAAUUUCAAUCGAUUGUUCCUAACAUCUUGGUGUUUGAUAUGAACGGUAGAGAUUGAAUUUGGAGGUCCACAUACAUAUAUCCAGGAAAAUGUUGAACAGGAAAACAACUUACUUAAUUAUGUAGCUCUAUAUAAUUACGCAAGUGACAUUGCAAAAUUUUGGAGGAUUUUAGUAGCACAAUUGGUGAGGGUUUGAUUCCCCACCUUGUAAUCUCUUGCCUCGUUUUUCCCUUCCCCUGCCCUCGAUGUAAUAAAAAUAUAUUUUAAAAAAUGACGUUGCAAAAUCUUCAAAAUAAGUGAUGUUAAGUUUUCACAUAUUUUAUUAAGCUUUUGUCUCAUAUUUUAUGUAACAUAUGUUUGAGUUACCAUUAGUUUCAACUCACUCUUAAUUCUCCAAAGUGAAAUUCCAUUUGAUUGUAGUACAAUAGUUAUGAUUCAAAAGUAUAUGUAUGUAUGUAUGUGUGUAUGUAUGUAUGUUGAUCUUCGCUUAUCAAGAACAUAUAUUGGACAAAUACACACUAAUCAGUAGUAGACGUACUCUUUAUUUAUUUAACAUAAAUGACAAUCAUUGUAUAGGAUUCAAGAACCUAUAACAUGAUACAUUACAUCGUUAAGAAUCACAUAAAACGUUUAAAAACUUUAUUCUUCAGAGAAACACGCGAUAGAGAGACCAAUCUGUUAAGACAGGUAAAGAUCACGCGGUUGGAAGCCACAAGAUUAGUUGGAUGGAGGAGGUGAUCGUGUAGGAAUGGUUGGAACUGAUGGCGUGUUAGGCAGAGGAUUCACCGAUGGUUUUGAUGGCAAAGUCAUCUUCGGAACAGAGGUCAAUGCGGGCAAAGAUGAAACACUACUUGGCAACAAUGGCAAUGGGGGGAUCUUUGGCAAGUUGGGAAUAGGAGGCAAUUGUGGUAGUGUUGGCAGAGGCAAUGACGGGAUGUUAGGCAAGUUGGGAAGUUGUAGUAAGCCGCGAGCAGCUUAACUUGUCGAUAUGCUUGAUAAGGACAAUAAUGCUAUGAUCACGAAGAGGAUUGAGCAAUUGCUAUAAGAAGCCAUUGUGUUGACAAUUUGAUCAAUUGCUAAUUUGUUUCGCGAAAAUUAUGCUAGCAAUGGAAGUUGUAAGUUCUGUUUCAAUGUGAAUGAGUUUGAUCAUUUACUAAAGAGUACAUAUAGGGAAAGUCGUCGAAAAACUAGCAGGAUUAUAUGAAAUAUGUGUGGUGAAGAUGCAUGACAACUCUAUUACUAAUUGUUAAGUUCACUUUCCUAAAUGUUGGGCACAACUCUUAAGAUGGAAAUAGUUAUGUUUGGUUCACCUUCCUAAAUGUUUGGAUCAACCAUAUUUGAUUAACUAUCUACUCAUGUACCAAUCAAAGAAAUCGGUUCUUACUACUUCCUCUGUUCCAAUUUAUGUGAUUCUAUACUUCCCUUAAUUGAUUUAUAACUACACAAAUGUUGAUGACUUGCUUUGCACCAUUGCCCAACAUGCCCAAAUGCUCUGUAGUCCCGAAAAUGACUCUGCCACCAUUGCCCAACAUGCCAUUACUUCCCAACAUGAUUCCUACACGUUCACCUCCUCCAUCCAACUAAUCUUGCAGCUUCCAACCGCGUGAUCUUUACCUCUCUUACCCUACUGCCCCCUAUCGCAUGAUAUUUUCUUCUUUUGGUCUUCUUUUAUGUGAUCUUGACGAUGUAAUGUAUCAUUUAUACUCUUGUGAGUGCUAUACAUUGAUUGUAAUUUGUUUUAAAUCCAAUGCCGUGUCUAUUACUGAUUCAUCUAUACUUGCCCAAUAUAUUUUCCUGAUAUGAGAACAUCAACAUACGUACAUUAUUUUGAACAAAUUUGAUCAUAACAGCUAGUGUUUUGUACUUUGACAAGGUCGAUUUUAGUAGAACUGUGGCAUACAACUUAUAAACUGUUGAACAUAUUGCAAUGUUAAUAAAGAUUUAACCUAACUUUAGAAAGUCACACUGAAAGAUAUUACAAAAUAAAUAGGCACAAUACGUAAACAAACACUCAAAGUUGGUUUCAACUGGCAAGUAAGUACUCUAACAACUAAACACUCCAAAUCAUUCUCACUGCGUUUUGUACAUCCGAUGUUGAUGUGACAAAUUUUGGAGGUGUAUCGAGAUCAUUUUGUUAGUUGGUAAUGUUCAAUUGACACAGCGGAGACGAGUUGAGGCAUCUAAUAUGCACUCCAAAAGUUGAAGUACUUGCCACGUAAUUGUUGUUAUUAGAAUACUUUCAAGAAGGGUAAAAACUUAUCCGUUCCGGUUGUUUACACUAAACUGGUGAAUGUAUGAUAUGUGUGGGGAUAUACACAACUAUCACUUAAUCAUGAUUAACUAAUGUAUACUUUCACUUCAUUAAAUCGCUUAAUUACGGUAAAUUGCGUUGGUAUGGCGUAAGCCUUUUGUUCGAUAUUUUUGGUGUGAAUCAAUAGAGUUUUUGAUUAAGAAACUUUUCUCUACAAAAUUAUAUUGGAAAGCAGUAUAAUUUCAGUGAAUUAGCUUAGAUUCCUCAAAAAGUAAUUGAAUGAUCAUAUAAAUUGAUUUGGUAAAUACUUAUUUGUAAUCAUGUUUACACCUAAUUAGACGAUUAACCUUAAGAAUCAAACAAUGUAAGUGAAAAUUCAUAGCCCUAAAGCGUUAAAAGUGUAUAUGCAAGACAUAUGUCAUACAUUCAUUAAUUUGAUAUAAACACUCGAUACAUACAGAUUUCCCCCCUAUACUUGGUUGCCUAUUAAUUGUUUAACCAAAUGUGUUUCACAAUAUUGUUGAGCUGAUUAGUUAUUUGACCAUAAUAUAUUAGGCACGAAAACAUAUCUCCUAGGUAGUUGAACAACAUUGGAAGGAUCAACAAACAACAGUCCUAUAGAAGAAACUAUUAGCAAAAAUUUUUAAAAAAAAUAAACAAUAAACAAGUUCAUGAGUUUACUUUCACCCUUAACCAAAGUUUCAGGUUCGGGAAUAAAGAAACCCUCAGAAGGAAGCGCUCCCCUUAACAAGUCCUACACGUUCCUCAAACCAACAUUAGUCACGAAAAUUAACUAACAAUAGAUCUAGAGUAUUUAGAAUUUUAAACGUAUGCUUCUUCACCAAAUCUUUGUAGUCCCUCAAAAAACUUUCCCUAUAUAUACCUUUAGUAAAUGAUCAAUCUCAAAUAAAAUCAAAACACAACUUAAUUUCCUAGUGAAAACAAAGCAAUUUUAGAGCAAAUUAACAAUGGCUACUUCCAUCAACUGCUCAAUUGUCUUCGCGAUCAUAGCAUUAUCGCUCUUUUCAAGCAUAUCGACAAGUCAUGCUGCUCGUAGCCUACUUCAACUUCCUAACCUGCCAACAAUCCCAUCACUGCCUCAACCAACAAUGCCACAACUACCCAAUAUUCCCAACUUGCCUACAACAUUGCCACCAUUGCCAAGUGUAUCAUCUUUGCCUACAUUGCCUUCUAUCCCCAAAAUGACACUGCCUCCAAUGCCUUCCAUCAAUCCUCUUCCCAACAUGCCAUCAAUUCCAAACAUUAUUCCUACACUUUCACCUCCUCCAUCCAACUAAUAACUAUCAUCUUGCUGCUCCAUCCUACUAUAUUAGUCGUCGUUUUAUGUACCUUAGUUGUUGUAUCGUUUUUUUGGGAAUACACUGGAUAUGUUGUUGUUGUUGUUUUAUGUUUUGAUUGUGAAAUGAGAGUUUUAUGUAAUAUUUCUGUUGC
rnacentral:lncRNA from 1 species